ACUAAGCCCUGAGAUCUUUUUAAAAUAUAGAUUCUGAUUCAGUAGGUCUGAAGUAGAUCCUGAAAUUCUACAUUUCUAACAAGCUCCUAGGGGGGCCCACU
rnacentral:miRNA from 1 species